AGGACGAACGCUGGCGGCACGCUUAACACAUGCAAGUCGAACGUGAAGCUCGGAGCUUGCUCCGGGUGGAAAGUGGCGAACGGGUGAGUAACACGUGAGGAACCUGCCCCGAAGACUGGGAUAACACCGGGAAACCGGUGCUAAUACUGGAUGCCUUCUCCGGAUCGCAUGAUCUGGCGAAGAAAUGGAUUCCGCUUCGGGAUGGCCUCGCGGCCUAUCAGCUAGUUGGUGGGUAACGGCCUACCAAGGCAACGACGGGUAGCUGGUCUGAGAGGAUGUCCAGCCACACUGGGACUGAGACACGGCCCAGACUCCUACGGGAGGCAGCAGUGGGGAAUCUUGCGCAAUGGGCGAAAGCCUGACGCAGCGAUGCCGCGUGCGGGAUGAAGGCCUUAGGGUUGUAAAGCUCUUUUGCCAGGGAUGAUAAUGACAGUACCUGGAGAAUAAGCUCCGGCUAACUCCGUGCCAGCAGCCGC
rnacentral:rRNA from 1 species